CCUACGGGAGGCAGCAGUGAGGAAUAUUGGUCAAUGGGCGAGAGCCUGAACCAGCCAAGUCGCGUGAGGGAGUACUGCCCCAUGGGUUGUAAACCUCUUUUGUCGGGGAGCAAAAGCCGGACGUGUCCGGCUGUGAGAGUACCCGAAGAAAAAGCAUCGGCUAACUCCGUGCCAGCAGCCGCGGUAAUACGGAGGAUGCGAUCGUUAUCCGGAUUUCUUGGGUUUAACGGGUGCGCAGGGGGAUGUUUAAGUCAGAGGGCAAAUCGUGGGCCUCAACCCCCUCAAGCCGUUGAAACUGGGGAUCUAGAGUGUGCGAGAGGUAUGCGGAAGGCGUGGUGUAGCGGUGAAAUGCAUAGAUAUCACGCAGAACCCCGAUUGCGAAGGCAGCAUACCGGUGCACAACUGACGCUCAGGCACGAAAGCGUGGGUAUCGAACAGGAUUAGAUACCCGGGUAGUC
rnacentral:rRNA from 1 species